rnacentral:rRNA from 1 species
UACGAAGGGGGCUAGCGUUGCUCGGAUUUACUGGGCGUAAAGGGCGCGUAGGCGGACAGUUUAGUCAGAGGUGAAAGCCCAGGGCUCAACCUUGGAAUUGCCUUUGAUACUGGCUGUCUUGAGUACGGGAGAGGUGAGUGGAACUCCGAGUGUAGAGGUGAAAUUCGUAGAUAUCGGGAGGAACACCAGUGGCGAAGGCGGUUGCCUGGGGCUUUGCUGACGCUGAUGCGCGAAAGCGUGGGGAGCGAUCCGG